rnacentral:rRNA from 1 species
AACGAACGCUGGCGGCAGGCCUAACACAUGCAAGUCGAGCGAGCCCUUCGGGGCUUGCGGCGGACGGGUGAGUAACGCGUGGGAACGUGCCCUUCUCUACGGAAUAGCCUCGGGAAACUGAGAGUAAUACCGUAUACGCCCUUCGGGGGAAAGAUUUAUCGGAGAAGGAUCGGCCCGCGUUGGAUUAGGUAGUUGGUGGGGUAAUGGCCUACCAAGCCGACGAUCCAUAGCUGGUUUGAGAGGAUGAUCAGCCACACUGGGACUGAGACACGGCCCAGACUCCUACGGGAGGCAGCAGUGGGGAAUCUUAGACAAUGGGGGAAACCCUGAUCUAGCCAUGCCGCGUGAGUGACGAAGGCCCUAGGGUCGUAAAGCUCUUUCGCUGGGGAAGAUAAUGACGGUACCCAGUAAAGAAACCCCGGCUAACUCCGUGCCAGCCGCCGCUGUAAUAC